AUUGAACGCUGGCGGCAUGCUUUACACAUGCAAGUCGAACGGCAGCGCGGGCUUCGGCCUGGCGGCGAGUGGCGAACGGGUGAGUAAUGCAUCGGAACGUGCCCAGUAGUGGGGGAUAGCCCGGCGAAAGCCGGAUUAAUACCGCAUACGACCUGAGGGUGAAAGCGGGGGACCGAAAGGCCUCGCGCUAUUUGAGCGGCCGAUGUCGGAUUAGCUAGUUGGUGGGGUAAAGGCUUACCAAGGCGACGAUCCGUAGCUGGUCUGAGAGGACGACCAGCCACACUGGAACUGAGACACGGCCCAGACUCCUACGGGAGGCAGCAGUGGGGAAUUUUGGACAAUGGGGGCAACCCUGAUCCAGCCAUGCCGCGUGCGGGAAGAAGGCCUUCGGGUUGUAAACCGCUUUUGUUCGGGAAGAAAUCCUCUGGGCUAAUACACCGGGAGGAUGACGGUACCGGAAGAAUAAGCAACGGCUAACUACGUG
rnacentral:rRNA from 1 species